CGAACGCUGCCGUUCCAUGCAGUCGAGCGGUAGAGAGAAGCUUGCUUCUCUUGAGAGCGGCGGACGGGUGAGUAAUGCCUAGGAAUCUGCCUGGUAGUGGGGGAUAACGUUCGGAAACGGACGCUAAUACCGCAUACGUCCUACGGGAGAAAGCAGGGGACCUUCGGGCCUUGCGCUAUCAGAUGAGCCUAGGUCGGAUUAUCUAGUUGGUGGGGUAAUGGCUCACCAAGGCGACGAUCCGUAACUGGUCUGAGAGGAUGAUCAGUCACACUGGAACUGAGACACGGUCCAGACUCCUACGGGAGGCAGCAGUGGGGAAUAUUGGACAAUGGGCGAAAGCCUGAUCCAGCCAUGCCGCGUGUGUGAAGAAGGUCUUCGGAUUGUAAAGCACUUUAAUUUGGGAGGAAGGGCCGUUACUAAUACGUGAUGGUUUUGACGUUACCGACAGAAUAAGCACCGGCUAACUCUGUGCCAGCAGCCGCGGUAAUACAGAGGGUGCAAGCGUUAAUCGGAAUUACUGGGCGUAAAGCGCGCGUAGGUGGUUUGUUAAGUUGGAUGUGAAAUCCCCGGGCUCAACCUGGGAACUGCAUUCAAAACUGACUGACUAGAGAGGGUGGUGGAAUUUCCUGUGUAGCGGUGAAAUGCGUAAAUAUAGGAAGGAACACCAGUGGCGAAAGCGACCACCUGGACUGAUACUGACACUGAGGUGCGAAAGCCUGGGGAACAAACCGGAUUAGAUACCCUGGGUAGUCCACGCCGUAAACGAUGUUCAUAUAGCCUGUGGGGAGCCUUGAUGCUCUUAGGCUAACGCAUUAAGUAUGACCGCCCUGGGGAGUACGGGUCGCAAGGGUUAAAACUCAAAUGAAUUUGACGGGGGGCCCGCACAAGCGGUGCAUGCAUGGUGAUUAAAUUCGAUGCACGCGAAGAACCUUUACUAGCGUGGACAUGCAUGAACUUUGCUAGAGAUAGAGUAGGUGCCCUUCAGUAACACUGAGACAGUGCUGCAUGGGCCUGUCGUCAGCCUCGUGUCCGUGGAAAUGUAGGAUUAGUCCGUCACCGAGGCGCAACCGAUG
rnacentral:rRNA from 1 species